UACGUAGGGGACGAGCGUUGUCCGGAAUUACUGGGCGUAAAGGGCGCGCAGGCUGCGCGUCGAGUCGGCUGUUAAAGAUCCGGGCUUAACCCGGUGAAGCGGUCGAGACCGACGAGCUGGAGUGCUGCAGAGGCAAGUGGAAUUCCCGGUGUAGCGGUGAAAUGCGUAGAUAUCGGGAAGAACACCGGUGGCGAAGGCGACUUGCUGGGCAGCAACUGACGCUGAGGCGCGAAAGCCAGGGGAGCAAACGGGAUUAGAUACCCGGGUAGUCCCU
rnacentral:rRNA from 1 species